rnacentral:tRNA from 1 species
CGGAUGGCUGGCCGAUCUCGGCGGAUGGCGGGGGGUUUAUUGGGCCUCCGCCUUUCUGACGCUGGCCAAGGUCGGCUUGCUCGGCCGGGUCCUGCCGA